rnacentral:rRNA from 1 species
UUCCGGUUGAUCCUGCCAGAGGCGACCGCUUUUGGAGUUCGAUUAAGCCAUGCGAGUCGAGAGUCUUAGGGACUCGGCAUACUGCUCAGUAACACGUGGAUAACCUGCCCUAUCGUCUGGAAUAACCUCGGGAAACUGAGAAUAAGGCCGGAUAGUUCACAAUGCCUGGAACGGUUUGUGGAUAAAGGUAGGAUGGGUCUGCGGCGUAUCAGGUUGUAGGGGGUGUAACGGACCCCCUAGCCAUCGACGCGUACGGGUGUUGGGAGACAUAGCCCGGAGAUGGAUUCUGAGACACGAAUCCAGACCCUACGGGGUGCAGCAGGCGCGAAAACUUCACACUGCAGGAAACUGUGAUGAGGGAACUCCAAGUGUGUGCAUUUUAUGUACACUUUUCUGAACUCUUAAUCGGUUCAGGAAUAAGGGCUGGGAAAGACCGGUGCCAGCCGCCGCGGUAAUACCGGCAGCUCAAGUGGUCGUCGCUUUUAUUGGGCCUAAAACGUCCGUAGCCUGUUUGGUAAAUCUGUGGGUAAAUCAACCAGCUUAACUGGUUGAAUUCUGCAGAGACUGCCAGACUAGGGACCGGGAGAGGUGUGGGGUACUCGAGGGGUAGGGGUAAAAUCCUGUCAUCCUUCGAGGACCACCAGUUGCGAAGGCGCCACACUGGAACGGAUCCGACGGUCAGGGACGAAGCCUAGGGGCACGAACCGGAUUAGAUACCCGGGUAGUCCUAGGUGUAAACGCUGUGAACUUGGUGUCGGGGGUCCGCAAGGGGUCCCCGGUGCCGGAGUGAAGAUGUUAAGUUCACUGCCUGGGGAGUACGGUCGCAAGGCUGAAACUUAAAGGAAUUGGCGGGGGAGCACUGCAACGGGAGGAGCGUGCGGUUUAAUUGGACUCAACGCCGGAA